rnacentral:snoRNA from 1 species
GGGAUAUGAGGAGUGGUCAAUACUUGUAUCUGAUAUGAGAUGGGUGUCCGCCUCGCCUGUUACGACAAUAGGGCACUUCCAUUUUUACCAUCUGAUCCC